GGGGGUGUAGUUUAAUUUCAAAAUGGCCUUCGGGCAGAUGAAGGUGUAAAUCCUUCCACCUCCACCA
rnacentral:tRNA from 1 species